rnacentral:misc_RNA from 1 species
GCGGUGCAGGGUAGGCAGGUCUGUAUAGAUAGUCUAGGGUAGGUACAGGGUAGGCACAGCGUAGGUAGAAGUCUGGUAUAUAGUAUGGGCGGGUGUAGGGUAGGCUCAGACACCGAUCCGUUUCGCGCCCUCACCUUUGCUCGGAAAACGACAAUCUUGGCCGGGAUGCAGGUCUAGGGUAGGCUGAAUCUAUGAUUAUAUAAGCUAUACUGCUCUAGGGUAGGUGAAGAUCCCAUAGAAAUCUGAUCAGAAUUGGUGACGAAGUGAUUUUGCUCGGAAGAUGCAGAAAAGUGUAACGCAGAACUGUAUGUGGCUUUGCAAAAGUGAGUGCGAAAU